rnacentral:rRNA from 1 species
UACGUAGGGGGCUAGCGUUGUCCGGAAUCAUUGGGCGUAAAGAGCGUGUAGGCGGCCCGGUAAGUCCGCUGUGAAAGUCGGGGGCUCAACCCUCGAAUGCCGGUGGAUACUGUCGGGCUAGAGUGCGGAAGAGGCGAGUGGAAUUCCUGGUGUAGCGGUGAAAUGCGCAGAUAUCAGGAAGAACACCAAUGGCGAAAGCAGCUCUCUGGGACGGUACUGACGCUGAGACGCGAAAGCGUGGGGAGCGAACAGG